rnacentral:rRNA from 1 species
GUGCCAGCAGCCGCGGUAAUACGGAGGGUGCAAGCGUUGUUCGGAUUUAUUGGGCGUAAAGCGCGUGUAGGCGGUCUUCUAAGUCUGAUGUGAAAGCCCUGGGCUCAACCCAGGAAGUGCAUUGGAUACUGGAAGACUUGAAUACGGGAGAGGGAUGCGGAAUUCCAGGUGUAGCGGUGAAAUGCGUAGAUAUCGGAAGGAACACCUGUGGCGAAGGCGGCUCUCUGGGACGGUACUGACGCUGAGACGCGAAAGCGUGGGGAGCGAACAGGAUUAGAAACCCCGGUAGUCC